UACGGAGGGUGCAAGCGUUAUCCGGAUUCACUGGGUUUAAAGGGUGCGUAGGUGGGCAGUUAAGUCAGUGGUGAAAUCUCCGGGCUUAACCCGGAAACUGCCAUUGAUACUAUCUGUCUUGAAUAUUGUGGAGGUGAGCGGAAUAUGUCAUGUAGCGGUGAAAUGCUUAGAUAUGACAUAGAACACCAAUUGCGAAGGCAGCUCGCUACACAUAUAUUGACUCUGAGGCACGAAAGCGUGGGGAUCAAACAGG
rnacentral:rRNA from 1 species